CSMUUAWGGAUGCAUCCUGGGMRUAUUCGAAUGCGGGCGGCGUGCCUUUGUCGUAAUCAUGGUGGGGCCUGAUUUAUCAGGCCACCGGCAGACGGGUGAGUAACGCGUAGGAAUCUACCCCUAGGAUUCGCAUAGCCCUCCGAAAGGAGGGGUAAUUCGGAAUGGCCUCGUAAGAGUAAAGGACUUAACGGUCCGCCAAGGGAGGAGCCUGCGUCCUAUCAGCUUGUUGGUGGGGUAAAAGCCUACCAAGGCAAUGACGGGUAGCUGGACUGAGAGGUCGAUCAGCCACAACUGCACUGAAACACGGGCAGUACAUCUACGGAUGGCAGCAACCGGGAAUAUUGCGCAAUGGACGAAAGUCUGACGCAGCGACGCCGCGUGAAGGAAGAAGGCCUAUGGGUCGUAAACUUCUUUUGCCAAGCCGUUCACAGCUUGGAGAAUAAGCCUCUACUAACUACGUGCCAGAAGUCUCGGUAAUACGUAGGAGGCAAGCAUUAUCCGGAUUCAUUGGGCGUAAAGUGUGCGUAGGCGGCAUGUUGUGUCGUAUCUUAAAUACCAAGGCUUAACCUCGGAUCUGGAUACGAAACUGGCAUGCUAGAGGAUUGUUAGGGAUGCUAGAACAGUUAGUGUAGCAGUGAAAUGCGUUGAUAUUAACUGGAAUACCGAAGGCGAAGGCAGGCAUCUGGGAUUUUCCUGACGCUGAGGCACGAAAGCUAGGGUAGCGAAACAGAUUAGAGACCUGUGUAGUCCUAGCCGUAAACGAUGUCCGCUAGCUAUCACUCACCAAGGGUGGGAAUGGCAAAUAUGCAAAUAAACAAAUAAGCAAAUGAAUUUAGAAUUUUUUAAUUUUAAAUUAUUUGAAAUUUGAUAUUUGUAGUAUUUGAUAUUCCAAUAGUUCGCACUUUUGGUGGAGUGGUGGUGUAAGCUAACGCGUUAAGCGGACCGCCUGGGGAGUACGGUCGCAGACUAAACUCAAAGGAUUGACGGGACCCGCCCACCGGUGGAGCGKGKGAUUAAUCGAGACAAACGAAAACCUCMCAGAUUGACUACUAUCGUUAGUCUGUGAAACCGAUGAUCCUCAGAAGAUGUAAGGUCUGCAUGCKUCCCMGCUCGUCCAGUGAGGGUUUCCUUACGUGGG
rnacentral:rRNA from 1 species